CCCCCUCAGACGGGGGCAGCCCUGGGCUGGGGGGGCUGGGGACCCCCGUGUCCCUCCCCCAGCCCCACAGGGGCCAAUCCUGCUUAAACCUUUGCUCUCCUUGCCCAGGCACUCUUGGCAGGAACCCAAAAUGAUCUGCGGGAGGUGGAUUUAGUGGACGUUGGGAUCCUGAAGAUGGCUCAGGCUCCCAAUACAUCCCACUGCACCCAGUGUGUCUCUGAGCCUGUCUUUGUCCCCAGCCCCCUGUGUUGGAGAAGGUGGUGGGUCCUGUUGGUGAGAAAGGCGUGGCUGCAUCCCUGGAUGGCUGAGGACUGGUGGUGACACCCGUGCCCUGUCCCCCUCCAGUGGCAUGAGGAGAUGAUCAUCCCUGGAAGAACCUCCUGAUUUCCCUCAGAGCCCAGGGGCAUUUCCCCUGAAUGAUCAAUAAAUCCCUUCAGCAAAGCUA